CUUGACACUCCCGAUGCUUAUUUCUAGAGAUAGAAAGUUACUUCGGUACAUCGGUGACAGGUGGUGCAUGGUUGUCGUCAGCUCGUGUCGUGAGAUGUUGGGUUAAGUCCCGCAACGAGCGCAACCCCUAUUGUUAGUUGCCAUCAUUCAGUUGGGCACUCUAGCGAGACUGCCGGUAAUAAACCGGAGGAAGGUGGGGAUGACGUCAAAUCAUCAUGCCCCUUAUGACCUGGGCUACACACGUGCUACAAUGGUUGGUACAACGAGUUGCGAGUCGGUGACGGCGAGCUAAUCUCUUAAAGCCAAUCUCAGUUCGGAUUGUAGGCUGCAACUCGCCUACAUGAAGUCGGAAUCGCUAGUAAUCGCGGAUCAGCACGCCGCGGUGAAUACGUUCCCGGGCCUU
rnacentral:rRNA from 1 species